GACGAACGCUGGCGGCGUGCUUAACACAUGCAAGUCGAACGGAAAGGCCCUGCUUGCAGGGUACUCGAGUGGCGAACGGGUGAGUAACACGUGGGUGAUCUGCCCUGCACUUCGGGAUAAGCCUGGGAAGCUGGGUCUAAUACCGGAUAGGAGCCAUUUUUAGUGUGAUGGUUGGAAAGCUUUUUCGGUGUAGGAUGAGCUCGCGGCCUAUCAGCUUGUUGGUGGGGUAAUGGCCUACCAAGGCGGCGACGGGUAGCCGGCCUGAGAGGGUGGACGGCCACAUUGGGACUGAGAUACGGCCCAGACUCCUACGGGAGGCAGCAGUGGGGAAUAUUGCACAAUGGGCGCAAGCCUGAUGCAGCGACGCCGCGGGGGGGAUGACGGCCUUCGGGUUGUAAACUCCUUUCGCUAGGGACGAAGCUUUUUGUGACGGUACCUAGAUAAGAAGCACCGGCUAACUACGUG
rnacentral:rRNA from 1 species